GACGAGGGGUCCAAGCGUUGUUCGGAAUUAUUGGGCGUAAAGCGGGUGUAGGUGGCUCUGUAAGUCAGGAGUGAAAUCCCCGAGCUUAACUCGGAAAGUGCUUUUGAAACUGUAGAGCUUGAAUGUGGGAGAGGAUCGUGGAAUUCCACGUGUAGCAGUGAAAUGCGUAGAGAUGUGGAGGAAUACCGAUGGCGAAGGCAGCCUCCUGGGCCAACACUGACGCUCAUGCACGAAAGCGUGGGGAGCAAACAGG
rnacentral:rRNA from 1 species